rnacentral:rRNA from 1 species
AGCUAGUAGGUGGGGUAACGGCUCACCUAGGCGACGAUCCCUAGCUGGUCUGAGAGGAUGUCCAGCCACACUGGAACUGAGACACGGUCCAGACUCCUACGGGAGGCAGCAGUGGGGAAUAUUGCACAAUGGGCGCAAGCCUGAUGCAGCCAUGCCGCGUGUAUGAAGAAGGCCUUCGGGUUGUAAAGUACUUUCAGCGGGGAGGAAGGGAGUAAAGUUAAUACCUUUGCUCAUUGACGUUACCCGCAGAAGAAGCACCGGCUAACUCCGUGCCAGCAGCCCGGUAAUACGGAGGGUGCAAGCGUUAAUCGGAAUUACUGGGCGUAAAGCGCACGCAGGCGGUUUGUUAAGUCAGAUGUGAAAUCCCCGGGCUCAACCUGGGAACUGCAUCUGAUACUGGCAAGCUUGAGUCUCGUAGAGGGGGGUAGAAUUCCAGGUGUAGCGGUGAAAUGCGUAGAGAUCUGGAGGAAUACCGGUGGCGAAGGCGGCCCCCUGGACGAAGACUGACGCUCAGGUGCGAAAGCGUGGGGAGCAAACAGGAUUAGAUACCCUGGUAGUCCACGCCGUAAACGAUGUCGACUUGGAGGUUGUGCCCUUGAGGCGCGGCUUCCGGAGCUAACGCGUUAAGUCGACCGCCUGGGGAGUACGGCCGCAAGGUUAAAACUCAAAUGAAUUGACGGGGGCCCGCACAAGCGGUGGAGCAUGUGGUUUAAUUCGAUGCAACGCGAAGAACCUUACCUGGUCUUGACAUCCACGGAAGUUUUCAGAGAUGAGAAUGUGCCUUCGGGAACCGUGAGACAGGUGCUGCAUGGCUGUCGUCAGCUCGUGUUGUGAAAUGUUGGGUUAAGUCCCGCAACGAGCGCAACCCUUAUCCUUUGUUGCCAGCGGUCCGGCCGGGAACUCAAAGGAGACUGCCAGUGAUAAACUGGAGGAAGGUGGGGAUGACGUCAAGUCAUCAUGGCCCUUACGACCAGGGCUACACACGUGCUACAAUGGCGCAUACAAAGAGAAGCGACCUCGCGAGAGCAAGCGGACCUCAUAAAGUGCGUCGUAGUCCGGAUUAGAGUCUGCAACUCGACUCCAUGAAGUCGGAAUCGCUAGUAAUCGUGGAUCAGAAUGCCACGGUGAAUACGUUCCCGGGCCUUGUACACACCGCCCGUCACACCAUGGGAGUGGGUUGCAAAAGAAGUAGGUAGCUUAACCUUCGGGAGGGCGCUUACCACUUUGUGAUUCAUGACUGGGGUGAAGUCGGAACAAGGUA